rnacentral:rRNA from 1 species
GAGCGGUAGCACAGAUAGCUUGCUCUCGGGUGACGAGCGGCGGACGGGUGAGUAAUGUCUGGGAAACUGCCUGAUGGAGGGGGAUAACUACUGGAAACGGUAGCUAAUACCGCAUAACGUCGCAAGACCAAAGAGGGGGACCUUCGGGCCUCUUGCCAUCAGAUGUGCCCAGAUGGGAUUAGCUAGUAGGUGGGGUAAUGGCUCACCUAGGCGACGAUCCCUAGCUGGUCUGAGAGGAUGACCAGCCACACUGGAACUGAGACACGGUCCAGACUCCUACGGGAGGCAGCAGUGGGGAAUAUUGCACAAUGGGCGCAAGCCUGAUGCAGCCAUGCCGCGUGUAUGAAGAACGCCUUCGGGUUGUAAAGUACUUUCAGCGAGGAGGAAGGCACUGAGGNNNAUAACCCCUCAUUGAGGUUUCCCCAAAAAAAACANNNCCGGCUAACUCCGUG